GAUGAACGCUGGCGGCGUGCCUAAUACAUGCAAGUCGAGCGAACGGACGAGAAGCUUGCUUCUCUGAUGUUAGCGGCGGACGGGUGAGUAACACGUGGAUAACCUACCUAUAAGACUGGGAUAACUUCGGGAAACCGGAGCUAAUACCGGAUAAUAUUUUGAACCGCAUGGUUCAAAAGUGAAAGACGGUCUUGCUGUCACUUAUAGAUGGAUCCGCGCUGCAUUAGCUAGUUGGUAAGGUAACGGCUUACCAAGGCAACGAUGCAUAGCCGACCUGAGAGGGUGAUCAGCCACACUGGAACUGAGACACGGUCCAGACUCCUACGGGAGGCAGCAGUAGGGAAUCUUCCGCAAUGGGCGAAGGCCUGACGGAGCAACGCCGCGUGAGUGAUGAAGGUCUUCGGAUCGUAAAACUCUGUUAUUAGGGAAGAACAUAUGUGUAAGUAACUGUGCACAUCUUGACGGUACCUAAUCAGAAAGCCACGGCUAACUACGUG
rnacentral:rRNA from 1 species